rnacentral:misc_RNA from 1 species
AUCAAUCCUCAAGGUUUCUUGUUGAUUGGACUUGGGUGUUGCCGUCUGGCUCGCCUCAAAUGCGUUAGUAGACCACAAUGUGAAGUUUGGCGUAAUACGUUUCGUCAGGCCAGCAUCGGCGUCCGCUUAUAACCACCAUCUACUGUCUUCAUAACUUUAUCUCUGACCUCAAAUCAGGUAGGACUACACGCUGAACUUAA